ACACACACACACACACCAGUGAUAUCAGGAACUUAAGUUUUCAGUUUCUUCUUUGAGGAGUAGCGGUGGCAACACUCGUUCUGUCUUGUUUCCUGUUCUAUUAAUCUCUUAAGACAGUAUUCGCAUAGUGUGCCCUGAAGAAUAGAACACUUGGAUAAACCUCUUGGGAAGACGGUGUGUAAAGCUCAGUGGCAACUGUUACCUCUGGGCAGGUGCCAAGGGCCUGAGGCAGCCUGCUUUCUUACAUCCCAUCUGCUUUCUUUGUGUUGAUUGGCUCAUCUGGCUGGCUUCACUAUGCCAGUUUUUGACAGGUAUGGAGGAGGACUAAAAAACUCAAAAGAUUUUGUGAGCUCCCUUAGACCUUGUGCUUUAUUCAUGGCAAACUGUACCAUGAUGCGGGCUUUGUCACUCACAGCCAAUCUCUGUGGCUCAAGCUAAGAAAAAUCAUAAUGAUCCGACUUAGUUUCCCGACUGUACAGAGUGCGGAAACUGAGGCUAAGUAAAAUUUUGUUCAAGUCCAAAUACAACAGAAACCACAUUUACUAUAACCUGUGUACUUUGUACGCAUUCCUGACUGACCGGCGGGUGGGAGCUAGAAGAUGGAGUUUGGGAUUUCUGACUACCAUUUCUUUGUAGGUGAAAGCCACAUUCAUCACUUUUGAGACAAUUGCACAGGCUUAGAGUAGCAGAACCCAAAAUAGACUUUCCUCUCUCAGGAGCAACUCUGCAUAAAAGACUCACUGGCUCUGGACUAGGUCCCUGUCACACCCCUGGCAGAAGUAGCCAGACCAAGGGACCUGGCCAGGAAUCUGGGUUGUCCCAGACGGGGAACAAACACUUGUCACAGAAUGAAUCGUGGCGUUGGGUAGACAGCCAAGUUUGCAGGAUUGGCGCUGUAUUGAUGAAGAAGGGAGAUUUGCGCUUUGUCUUGACCUCUGUCGUCAGCCAGUUACGGCGAAGUAGAGAUGACAUCAGGACGCUGUGGGAGAGCUUUAAGCUUAUCUCCUUCUACCCUAAAUACGUGGCAAGCGAACCCUCUAAAAAUAGCAGCGAGUGGCACCAUAACAAAGAAAGCAUGCAGCAUACAAGAAGGCAUGGUGCCCUCGGGCCGUUGGCCCCCACCCAGAGUUAACAUUUAGCAGUGUUUUUUGUCUUGCUCUUGAGGCUGUGGGCCAAAGUUUGGGCAGAGAUCCAUUUCAAUGGCUUGUUAUCUGUCAGCUAAGCUAACCUGUGCUGCCCAGGGUUGCAGUAUGCGUCACAGAGAUGCGAAUGCAGCAGGGAUUUGGCAACACACGAGGGACUUACACUGACCCUUCCUGCAUAGACUUGGAGUCUGUCUGUACUCAGCACCCUGGUGCACGUGAGAGGAGCUUAGUCUUUCCUUGCUAAUUGUGGUGAUGUCCGAAAAUAGCAACGGAUCUCUAGCUCCCCAGAGAAUCAUGGUCCCUGCUAAGACUAUGUUAUGUUAUGCUAUGCUAUGCUAUGCUAUGCUAUGCUAUGCUAUGCUAUGCUAUGCUAUGCUAUGCUAUGCUAUGCAAUGCUAUGCUAUGCUAUGUUAUGUUAUGUUGGAGUUGUUCAUGCUAAAGAGAAGACUGCUUAUUAAGAGUCUGGUCUCUAUAAUCUUCCGUAGUAACAGGCGUUUCAGCUGAGCACGUGAUUGUCUAGAAUAAAGUGCUGGAGUUCUUAUCCUCCCUCGGAAUUGACUGCUAUUGUAUGACCAAGACUGACCCAGGGGCACAUCAUCAGGAGUGAUGUGCUUAGCUUCAUGGUCACUUUGAAGGGAGGCCAUGGGGCCUUGUCCUUCUUCCUUGCAUGUAUGCAGUCAUGAGGUGUGCUGUGUCAGAUAAUGCAGAUUAAAGCAGCACCCCGGCGGGAUACAGAGCAACAACACAGAAGGGAUGUGGGACAUUGACCACUAAGGGAGAGGUUUCAUGUGUGUCUCCCAUGGAAGGCCAAUCAUUUUGGUCUCCAUCGGCCAUAGCACAACGUAUGGUUUAAGUUGUACAUGAUUUAGUAGGAGAUUUUACUUUGGAAUAAUAAAACAAGAUAGCAAUCAAAUAAGAGUAAUGGGAAACAGGAAACCAGGCUAAAGAAAGGGAGAAUCUUUUCUCUUUUUGGCUUCCAUCGCAUAUACAGGACUCAUAUACCCCCAGGAAAUAUAGGUCGAGCCUACUGAUAUGGUUUCUGGGGGACUUUUGUAUCAGAUAAUUUUAUGACUUGAUUUUCUUGGAGACUACAUGCGGUGAUGAAAACAUCUAAGUGGAAACAGAGGCUGUGAAAUUAGUUUUGGAAAAAGCGUCAACUAACCAGUGUUGGGCAACCAGCCGUUUAUCUGUGUGCAGUUAGGGUCGUAAGAUUAGCAGGUUAUGGGGUUAGGAGAAGGUCUCAGAGAUGACCAGCUUCAAUCAUCAGCUUUAUGUCUAAGAGUCAAGGUAGAGGGGGCUGGGGAUUUAGCUCAGUGGUAGAGCGCUUACCUAGGAAGCGCAAGGCCCUGGGUUCGGUCCCCAGCUCCGAAAAAAAAGAACCAAAAAAAAAAAAAAAAAGAGUCAAGGUAGUGGGUACAUUAUCCCUUUCAUUCUUGAGUCCAAAGUGGCUCAAAAAAAAAAAAAAAAAAAAA
rnacentral:sRNA from 1 species